GUUCGAAAACUCAAUGAAACUAUUUUUAUUCUUAUCAAAAAAAAACAACUGAUAAAAAAAAUUUUAAAAAAUGAAAAAAUUCAAAAUUUUUGGAAAAUUGUACCCAAAAAUGUGAAAUAUUUUGUCUGUCUUCAAGUUGUGGAACAAAUCAUCAUGGAAGAAAUGGAAAUGGAUAAUGAAUCAGCUCUGAAAUUAGCCAACCAUGGAGAAACAUUCAUUUUUCUAAACGUACCAGAAUGAAUAGAAUUUGGCAUCGGUAUGAAAUCAUGAACCAUCGGAGAUGAAUUCAAGAGCGUUAAAAUGGUACCAGCAGGGCCUCACUUCAUUUAUUACAAUAUGAAAGAUAAGUAUGGGAAUGAAGCACCUAGAUCUGGACUUUUUCAUUAUUUCAACGAAUUCGAAGUUCUAGUGGAAAAAAUGGGAUACAGAAGCUGAAGAUAUUAGCACAGAAGUGCAAUUUAAUCGAAUUCGAUCAAUUUUUAACACCUUAUCCUUAUCAAAACACAACUAGGAUCCUUAAGGAGCUAAUGCUACAGAAAUCACGUCUCAUUAUCUCGAUUCUACUUACGAAAUUCGGCUGUCAUUUUUACCAAGUUCGGACAAUGAGAAGAUGAUGAAGCACCUGUUGUUGUUGAUCUAUUUUUCGUUUCGUUGGCUGCGAUAGCUCGUGUUAUGACGUAGGUGGUAUUUUGAAUACAAAUUUUUAAAUAUCAAAUUCAAAAUACGAGUUUUAAACGUCAGUUCGGUGAAUUAUUUACGUAAAACAUGUACGAAUAUUUACGUUUAUUAUACACGUGAAAAAUAUUGUAUUUUUUUAUAUUAUUUUGUUUGUAUAUGUGUACCUAAUAUACGUUUUAAAAUGAUA